UACGGAGGGUGCAAGCGUUAUUCGGAAUUACUGGGCGUAAAGCGCACGUAGGCGGUCUGUUAAGUCGGAUGUGAAAUCCCCGUGCUCAACCUGGGAACUGCAUCUGAAACUGGCAGGCUUGAGUCUUGUAGAGGGUGGUAGAAUUCCAGGUGUAGCGGUGAAAUGCGUAGAGAUCUGGAGGAAUACCGGUUGCGAAGGCGGCCCGCUGGACAAAGACUGACGCUCAGGUGCGAAAGCGUGGGGAGCAAACAGG
rnacentral:misc_RNA from 1 species